rnacentral:rRNA from 1 species
GACAGAGGGUGCAAACGUUGUUCGGAAUUACUGGGCGUAAAGCGCGUGUAGGCGGCAGCGUGUGGCGGGCGUGAAAUCCCAUGGCUCAACCAUGGAAGUGCACCCGAAACUGCGCAGCUAGAGUCCUGGAGAGGAAGGUGGAAUACUUGGUGUAGAGGUGAAAUUCGUAGAUAUCAAGUGGAACACCGGUGACGAAGGCGGCCUUCUGGACAGUGACUGACGCUGAGACGCGAAAGCGUGGGGAGCAAACAGG